rnacentral:rRNA from 1 species
UCCUGAGUGGGAAUCACUUAUUAGGUCUAAAGCGCUCGUAGUUGGCUUUGUAAAUUUCUUGUGAAAUCGUGUCGCUUAACGGCACGGCGUGCAGGAAACACUGCAAAGCUUGGGACUGGGAGGCGUCAGAAGUAUUUCUUAGGGAGCGGUAAAAUGUGAUAAUCUAAGGAGGACUACCUGUGGCGAAGGCGUCUGACGAGAACAGGUUCGACAAUCAGGAGCGAAGGCUAGGGGAGCAAACCG